CCUACGGGAGGCAGCAGUGAGGAAUAUUGGUCAAUGGACGCAAGUCUGAACCAGCCAUGCCGCGUGCAGGAAGACGGCUCUAUGAGUUGUAAACUGCUUUUGUACGAGGGUAAACGCAGAUACGCGUAUCUGUCUGAAAGUAUCGUACGAAUAAGGAUCGGCUAACUCCGUGCCAGCAGCCGCGGUAAUACGGAGGAUUCAAGCGUUAUCCGGAUUUAGUGGGUUUAAAGGGUGCGUAGGCGGUCGGAUAAGUUAGAGGUGAAAUCCCGAGGCUCAACUUCGGAAUUGCCUCUGAGACUGUUCGGCUAGAGAGUAGUUGCGGUAGGCGGAAUGUAUGGUGUAGCGGUGAAAUGCUUAGAGAUCAUACAGAACACCGAUUGCGAAGGCAGCUUACCAAGCUACUUCUGACGUUGAGGCACGAAAGCGUGGGGAGCAAACAGGAUUAGAUACCCCAGUAGUC
rnacentral:rRNA from 1 species